GGCCUCCCCCUCUCAACCCCUCUCUUCGAUCGUCGACUCGUCAAGGCGUCUACGGCCUCUCUCUCCUCGACUCCUUAAACUUGAUCUUGGUGCUCUCUUCCUCGCAGCAAAGCUGAAAACUUUCUGGGUUUUCAUACGAACAGCCUCAAACUCGAUGUCUUGGGUCUGUUCUCAAUCUCUUUUUACUUGAUUUAUGUUUUAGGCUCCUACUUUUGAUAAUAGAAUGAUAGAUUUUGCUUCGUAUAGGAGGGAGAGAAGCCUGAUUGUAUCAUUACUCCGAAACUGAAUGUUGGGGAUAAGCUU
rnacentral:lncRNA from 1 species